CAGGUAGCUCAGUUGGUAGAGCAGUGGAUUGAAAAUCCUCGUGUCGGUGGUUCGAUUCCGCCCCUGG
rnacentral:tRNA from 1 species